rnacentral:rRNA from 1 species
GACGAACGCUGUCGGCGUGCUUAACACAUGCAAGUCGAACGGAAAGGCCCUGCUUUUGUGGGGUGCUCGAGUGGCGAACGGGUGAGUAACACGUGAGUAACCUGCCCUUGACUUUGGGAUAACUUCAGGAAACUGGGGCUAAUACCGGAUAGGAGCUCCUGCUGCAUGGUGGGGGUUGGAAAGUUUCGGCGGUUGGGGAUGGACUCGCGGCUUAUCAGCUUGUUGGUGGGGUAGUGGCUUACCAAGGCUUUGACGGGUAGCCGGCCUGAGAGGGUGACCGGCCACAUUGGGACUGAGAUACGGCCCAGACUCCUACGGGAGGCAGCAGUGGGGAAUAUUGCACAAUGGGCGGAAGCCUGAUGCAGCAACGCCGCGUGCGGGAUGCCGGCCUUCGGGUUGUAAACCGCUUUCGCCUGUGACGAAGCGUGAGUGACGGUAAUGGGUAAAGAAGCACCGGCUAACUACGUGCCAGCAGCCGCGGUGAUACGUAGGGUGCGAGCGUUGUCCGGAUUUAUUGGGCGUAAAGGGCUCGUAGGUGGUUGAUCGCGUCGGAAGUGUAAUCUUGGGGCUUAACCCUGAGCGUGCUUUCGAUACGGGUUGACUUGAGGAAGGUAGGGGAGAAUGGAAUUCCUGGUGGAGCGGUGGAAUGCGCAGAUAUCAGGAGGAACACCAGUGGCGAAGGCGGUUCUCUGGGCCUUUCCUGACGCUGAGGAGCGAAAGCGUGGGGAGCGAACAGGCUUAGAUACCCUGGUAGUCCACGCUGUAAACGGUGGGUACUAGGUGUGGGGUCCAUUCCACGGGUUCCGUGCCGUAGCUAACGCUUUAAGUACCCCGCCUGGGGAGUACGGCCGCAAGGCUAAAACUCAAAGGAAUUGACGGGGCCCCGCACAAGCGGCGGAGCAUGCGGAUUAAUUCGAUGCAACGCGUAGAACCUUACCUGGGUUUGACAUGGAUCGGGAGUGCUCAGAGAUGGGUGUGCCUCUUUUGGGGUCGGUCCACAGGUGGUGCAUGCCUGUCGUCAGCUCGUGUCGUGAGAUGUUGGGUUAAGUCCCGCAACGAGCGCAACCCUUGUUCACUGUUGCCAGCACGUUAUGGUGGGGACUCAGUGGAGACCGCCGGGGUCAACUCGGAGGAAGGUGGGGAUGACGUCAAGUCCUCAUGCCCCUUAUGUCCAGGGCUUCACGCAUGCUACAAUGGCUGGUACAGAGAGUGGCGAGCCUGUGAGGGUGAGCGAAUCUCGGAAAGCCGGUCUCAGUUCGGAUUGGGGUCUGCAACUCGACCUCAUGAAGUCGGAGUCGCUAGUAAUCGCAGAUCAGCAACGCUGCGGUGAAUACGUUCCCGGG